AUAUCUCUCUGUACGGGAAGGAUGAGAAGCUUCGACUAAGGUUCGAUUCGAGCGCAGCGAGAAAGCGUUGCCGCAGGCAACGACCCGAAGGGCGAAGCGCGCAGC
rnacentral:sRNA from 2 species